rnacentral:ncRNA from 1 species
CUGCGGGAUGAACCGAACGCCGAGUUAAGGCGCCGAAAUCUGUACGCGUAUUCAGAGACCAUGAAAGGCGUUGGUUGCUGAUGACAGCAGGACGGUGGCCAUGGAAGUCGGAAUCCGCUAAGGAGUGUGUAACAACUCACCUGCCGAAGCAACUAGCUCUGAAAAUGGAUGGCGCUGGAGCGUCGUGCCUAUACUCGGCCGUCGACGGCAUAGUGGGGCCAGUCGUCGCUCGCGGCGGCCGGUCCCGGCAAGCCUCGACGAGUAGGAUGGCGCGGCGGUGUGCGUCGAAGGGCAGGUCGCGAGACCGCCUGGAGCCGCCGUCGGUGCAGAUCUUGGUGGUAGUAGCAAAUACUCGAGAGGGGCCCUCGGGGGCUGCCGUGGAGAAGGGUUUCUUGUGAACAGCCGUUGUCCAAGAGUCAGUCGAUCCUAAGCCCGGGGAGAGAUCCUCGUACCACGGGCGAAGGCGUUUUCGAAUCGCCCUUGGGGCGAGAGGGAAUCCGGUUCGUAUUCCGGAACCCGACGCGGAACCGCUCCCUAGUGUUCGGGGCUCUUUUGUCUCGUCUGGGUAACCAGAAUGAACUCGAAGAAGCCGCCGGGGGAUCUGGGUAGAGUUCUCUUUUCUCUGUGAGCGUUGUACGUCCCUGGAAUCCUCUAGCCGGGCGAUAGGGACGCGAGCGCGAAGAGCACCGCUCGUUGCGGCGGUGUCCGUGAUCCCCACGCGGACCUUGAAAAUUCGAGAGAGGGCCACGCGGAGUCUUCGCGUCGGUUCGUACCGAUAUCCGCAGCAGGUCUCCGAGGUGAGCAGCCUCUAGCCGCAUAGAAUAAUGUAGGUAAGGGAAGUCCGGCAAAA